rnacentral:tRNA from 1 species
GACUCAAUGGUCUAGUGGUAAGGCAUUCGCCGCUGAGCCAAAGGAUUCUGGGUUCGGUCCCUGGUAGGGUCG